rnacentral:rRNA from 1 species
GACGAACGCUGGCGGCGUGCCUAAUACAUGCAAGUUGAGCGCUGAAGGUUGGGACUUGUCCCAACUGGAUGAGCAGCGAACGGGUGAGUAACGCGUGGGGAAUCUGCCUUUGAGCGGGGGACAACAUUUGGAAACGAAUGCUAAUACCGCAUAAAAACUUUAAACACAAGUUUUAAGUUUGAAAGAUGCAAUUGCAUCACUCAAAGAUGAUCCCGCGUUGUAUUAGCUAGUUGGUGAGGUAAAGGCUCACCAAGGCGAUGAUACAUAGCCGACCUGAGAGGGUGAUCGGCCACAUUGGGACUGAGACACGGCCCAAACUCCUACGGGAGGCAGCAGUAGGGAAUCUUCGGCAAUGGACGAAAGUCUGACCGAGCAACGCCGCGUGAGUGAAGAAGGUUUUCGGAUCGUAAAAAUCUGUUGGUAGAGAAGAACGUUGGUGAGAGUGGAAAGCUCAUCAAGUGACGGUAACUACCCAGAAAGGGACGGCUAACUACGUG